GAAAUAUUGCCAAGAGGAGCACUGUAUCUGGGUGACAUCAAAAAAUGAUCCCAAAGUAGUUGAGAAUGCAGAUGCAGUAAAAAGGUACUAUGUCUAAACUCGUUCCGGCGAUGCCUUUGCACAUGUGAGAUGACGAAGGCUUUCAUUACCGCUAUCCAAACGCCAUCAAUCCUUCGUAAACCUUUUGAGCCAGUUACCUUUAUUUGAUUACCCUCUUUGGAACCCGGAAGUGCUAUUGAAAAA
rnacentral:lncRNA from 1 species